CCUACGGGAGGCAGCAGUGGGGAAUAUUGGGCAAUGGGCGCAAGCCUGACCCAGCAACGCCGCGUGAAGGAAGAAGGCUUUCGGGUUGUAAACUUCUUUUGUCAGGGAAGAGUAGAAGACGGUACCUGACGAAUCAGCCACGGCUCACUACGUGCCAGCAGUCGCGGUAAUACGUAGGUGGCAAGCGUUGUCCGGAUUUACUGGGUGUAAAGGGCGUGUAGCCGGGUUGACAAGUCAGAUGUGAAAUCCUGCGGCUUAACCGCAGAACUGCAUUUGAAGCUGUUGAUCUUGAGUACUGGAGAGGCAGACGGAAUUCCUAGUGUAGCGGUGAAAUGCGUAGAUAUUAGGAGGAACACCAGUGGCGAAGGCGGUCUGCUGGACAGCAACUGACGGUGAGGCGCGAAAGCGUGGGGAGCAAACAGGAUUAGAUACCCCAGUAGUC
rnacentral:rRNA from 1 species